GGCACGGCGGGAAACAGGACAUUUCUUGAAAAAUUAGAGUCUCCAGGCAGGCCUACGCUCGAAUACAUUAGCAUGGAAUAAUAAAAUAGGACGCGCCGUUCUAUUUUGUUGGUUUACGGACGGCCGUAAUGAUUAAUAGGGACAGUCGGGGGCAUCAGUAUUCAGUGGUCAGAGGUGAAAUUCUUGGAUCCACUGAAGACUAACUACUGCGAAAGCAUUUGCCAAGGAUGUUUUCAUUAAUCAGGAACGAAAGUUAGGGGAUCGAAGACGAUCAGAUACCGUCGUAGUCUUAACCAUAAACUAUGCCGACUAGGGAUCGGACGGUGGUAUUUUUUGCCCCGUCCGGCACCUUACG
rnacentral:rRNA from 1 species